rnacentral:rRNA from 1 species
AUUGAACGCUAGCGGGAUGCCUUACACAUGCAAGUCGAACGCGUGGCGGACGGGUGAGUAAUAUAUCGGAACGUGCCCAGUAGCGGGGGCUAACUACUAGAAAGAGUGGCUAAUCCCGCAUACUAUUGGAGCGGCCGAUAUCGGAUUAGCUAGUUGGUGGGGUAAAGGCUCACCAAGGCAACGAUCCGUAGCUGGUUUGAGAGGACGACCAGCCACACUGGGACUGAGACACGGCCCAGACUCCUACGGGAGGCAGCAGUGGGGAAUUUUGGACAAUGGGGGAAACCCUGAUGCAGCCAUGCCGCGUGUAGGAGAAGGCCUUCGGGUUGUAAAGUACUUUCAGUCGGGAGGCGUUACCGGCAGAAGAAGCACCGGCUAACUCCGUGCCAGCAGCCGCGGUAAUAC